GGGGCUGAUUGUGUUGCUGGUGCAUGCCGAGGUCUUCAAAACCUUCCUGAGAGGCGCGUGCCGUCUCUGCUGGGUUCGAUUCCCAGGCAGUCCC
rnacentral:tRNA from 1 species